rnacentral:rRNA from 1 species
GACGAACGCUGGCGGCGUGCUUAACACAUGCAAGUCGAACGGAAAGGCCCUGCUUUUGUGGGGUGCUCGAGUGGCGAACGGGUGAGUAACACGUGAGUAACCUGCCCUUGACUUUGGGAUAACUUCAGGAAACUGGGGCUAAUACCGGAUAGGAGCUCCUGCUGCAUGGUGGGGGUUGGAAAGUUUCGGCGGUUGGGGAUGGACUCGCGGCUUAUCAGCUUGUUGGUGGGGUAGUGGCUUACCAAGGCUUUGACGGGUACGCGGCCUGAGAGGGUGACCGGCCACAUGGGGACUGAGAUACGGCCCAGACUCCUACGGGAGGCAGCAGUGGGGAAUAUUGCACAAUGGGCGGAAGCCUGAUGCAGCAACGCCGCGUGCGGGAUGACGGCCUUCGGGUUGUAAACCGCUUUCGCCUGCGACGAAGCGUGAGUGACGGUAAUGGGUAAAGAAGCACCGGCUAACUACGUG